UUUAGUUUCUUUGUAUCUAUAAGAAUAAUUUUUAUUUUAGGUUACUUCAAAACUGCUGGAGUUUGGAUUUCAUAUGUUUUUUCAGGCGAUUUAUUUGUUAGAUUUUAUGGAUAUUUAGGUAUGAAUUGGCAGAAGAUUGUGCAGACGAUGAUGAAGCAAAGUAGCUGAUUUAUAAUAAGUGACUUUUUUUUUGUUCUUUAUUGUACUAUAGAUUCGAAUUUAUCAUUAUAAUUUUUUUUUUAAUUUUUUUGUGCAGUUAUAUGGUCCGGUUUUUUUCAAAGUGUAUGAAAAUCAUUUGAAUGCUGAGAACCUAUUAUAUUCGCGAAGUCCAGGCGAUGCUGCUUUACAUGAUACAAGAGAUCGACACCUUCAUCCAUAUGGAGUGCUAAUAUACAGAUUUUCUGGGAUUUUUUGUUUUUGAAUGGAAGUUAGCAUGAGGUUUUCACAUGACAUGGAUGAUGAGUAGAGAAACUCAUCUAGAGAAUGAACCUACCAAGACAACGCCUGAUUUUACUUUAAAGGAGCUGAGAUCAGCAUGUCACAACAGUCUCACAAGCAAAU